UAUGUUGAGUACUUGUCAAUUCCUUUUCUUGUAGGCUAGAGAAGCCUAGAAAAAGGCCUUGCAGAAAUGAGUUAGUAGACUAAAGCAGCAUUUGAAAACAUGAAGUUUAACAAGUUCUACUCAGUCCAGACCGAUGAUACUCCUGACAUAUCAAAUGUUAAGGCACCGUUUAUAAACAGGUAUUAUGGGAAAGCUCAUGAAGUUCUGUGAUUGGGCUCAUCAACCACCAGUAUUUCUACUGCAAAAGAUGCCAAUUGGUUUGCAUUGGGGACUAUAGUUAGCUAUUGAUUCUAGGAUAUGUUUCAUGAUGAAAGUUCAUAAUGGAACCCUAAAUGUGUGCUAAAUCUGGUGGUUUUUUCUUGGUUUCUCAAUUUGUCUUACCUUUCCAAUUUAUGUACUUUGUUAGAAGUUCUAAUUUUGUCCCAUCAACAUUAUUUCUUGUAUUCCCAAAAGGUUCAAUUCUGCCAAUGCCAUGAAAUACAAAUAGUUAUUGAUCA